UGAAAAUAAUAUGUUUGACCACACGAUAUUUUUUCCCCUCUCUCUGGCUAACGAAUCAACCUAUCACACGCAUUCUCUCCACUAGUUCAGGUGAUGACACAUCAAAAGUCACAUAAUUGUUGCCAGUAAGUGAAUAUAAUCGUGUUAGUAUUUUCGAGUUAUUCACUAAAUUUAUCUCAUAUGUUUGCGUUAUUAGAAAAUAAAACACAUAUGUAAAUUAAAACAAUAAACUAGUAUCUGAAUUUAGUGUUCUAGGGUGUAAAUAUUAUAAUAUACCUUCCAUUACCGACAACUCAGUCAGGUUAUAAGAACCCCGGGGAGCGACCUGUACGCCCACUGUUCUUCAGAUCUCGGUACAGUCAACGAACGCUGGACUGCGUCACAACCUCCCCGAGGCUCGUGUACACUGUUGACAUUGACACCAAACACAAGACAAACAGACAGACAUACAAGAGGCAGCAGCUGUACAGGAUGUCUGGAAGUACCAAAGAUGCUCAGAAGGAGACGUCCCCAAAGAACUCCUCGGUGUGUGGGGCACAAGGUGGGGCACAAGGGAAAUCCUUCACUCCACCGCAGAGGAAUGUAGAAGAAACUAAGAAGAAUGACAGUAGCUAUCAACUAUCCCCCAUUGGAUUGAUGCGCCUUUUCCAGACACCUUCGCCCCAAAAGUCAUCAUCCAGCAACUCAUAAUGUGAUGCACAUACACACAUAAAUACAGACACACCGCACACAUACACACAUAAAUACAGACACACCCAACACACACACACAU